GACGUAGGGCGCGAGCGUUUGUCCGGAUUUACUGGGCGUAAAGAGCGCGCAGGCGGUCGUGCAAGUCGCGUGUGAAAGCCCCCGGCUCAACUGGGGAGGGUCACGCGAUACUGCUCGACUCGAAGGCAGGAGAGGGAAGUGGAAUUCCCGGUGUAGUGGUGAAAUGCGUAGAUAUCGGGAGGAACACCAGUGGCGAAGGCGACUUCCUGGCCUGUUCUUGACGCUGAGGCGCGAAAGCUAGGGGAGCAAACGGG
rnacentral:rRNA from 1 species